AUUAGGAUUUGGUUAAGGUUUGAUUUAGGAUUUAGGAUUUGGUUAGGAUUUGAUUUAGGAUUAGGGUUAGGGUUAGGAUUUGAUUAGGAUUUGGUUUAGAAUUUGAUUUAAGGUUAGGAUUUGGUUAAGGUUUGGUUUAGGAUUAGGGUUUGAUUUAAGGUUUAGGCUUUGGUUAGGAUUUAAUUUAAAAUUAGGAUUUGAUUAGGAUUUGGUUAGGAUUUGAUUUAGGGUUAGGAUUUGGUUAGGAUUUGGUUUAGGAUUUAGGAUUUGAUUAGAAUUUGGUUUAGGGUUUAGGAUUUAGGAUUUGAUUAGAAUUUGGUUUAGGGUUUAGGAUUUGAUUUAGGAUUGGUUAGGAUUUGAUUUAAGUUUUAGGAUUUUAUUUGAGUUUAUUUAGAAUUUAAAAUUUAGCUAUUUUUUAGCCUAAAGUUUGAAUGAAGUCCAAAAGAAUUUCAACUAGGAUUAAAUUAAGAUUGAAUUGAGAUGUAUUUGAGAUAUGUUUGUAAUCAUUCUAAUAUUUCUUUAAGAUUUUUUAUUAUUUCUUUAUAAUU
rnacentral:lncRNA from 1 species